rnacentral:piRNA from 1 species
UGGUAAAACCCGCCUCUACUGAAAGUA